rnacentral:rRNA from 1 species
GGACGAACGCUGGCGGCGUGCUUAACACAUGCAAGUCGAACGGAAAGGCCCUGCUUUUGUGGGGUGCUCGAGUGGCGAACGGGUGAGUAACACGUGAGUAACCUGCCCUUGACUUUGGGAUAACUUCAGGAAACUGGGGCUAAUACCGGAUAGGAGCUCCUGCUGCAUGGUGGGGGUUGGAAAGUUUCGGCGGUUGGGGAUGGACUCGCGGCUUAUCAGCUUGUUGGUGGGGUAGUGGCUUACCAAGGCUUUGACGGGUAGCCGGCCUGAGAGGGGGACCGGCCACAUUGGGACUGAGAUACGGCCCAGACUCCUACGGGAGGCAGCAGUGGGGAAUAUUGCACAAUGGGCGGAAGCCUGAUGCAGCAACGCCGCGUGCGGGAUGACGGCCUUCGGGUUGUAAACCGCUUUCGCCUGUGACGAAGCGUGAGUGACGGUAAUGGGUAAAGAAGCACCGGCUAACUACGUG